CCUGGGAUGCCGUGCCGCCAAGAUGAAAGCAAUGAACAUUUGCUGCUUGAAAUACCUGCUGUAUCAAAAUUGACAUUCAAAUGAUAUUACAGUACAUGCAGGUAUAUUUGCGUUUAACCUUUCUUCUGAGUUAGGUUCCUUCCUCAAACGGUGUGUUACUAAUUUCUGAAUUUAGAGAAGCAGUAUUCAGGGCACUACUAAAUUUAAACAUUCAUUCAGCUAGCUUUGCAAAACCCAGUCUAUAACAACAAAACAAAAAUAGUCUACAACAAUGGGCCCUAAAUUUGAAAAUGCAUCCCCUUUAAUGGACAGCCUUCGGUAGGGGGUAAUAUUUUUUAAAGUCUAUGACUUACAUAGAUUUCCUACAAAUUAUGAUACAGCUUAGUCAAGCACUACACACAUUGACAGUCACUGGAUUUCCAGGCACAGUAAGAACGAUCUGAAGAUUCCCACUUAGGUUCUGAGGAAGAAUGAGUUCAUUGUGACAAAUCAUUUGGGAAGAACGUUUAAGUUCUAAAGUAACGAGUAAGGAGAGCAAACCGAGCCGCCAGCUUAUAAUGGCUACACAGGGUUCCUUUGUCUCCCCUUCAGUAUGGCUUCUACUCGGUACCCAAACAACCCUUACCUUUAAUCCUCGUUUUUUCCCCUCUUAACUCUACCUUGUAAUGGAGAAAUUUUGGAUUGCACUUUAGUGAGACCAGGAGAACAUUUUUGCUCUGGAAAGCGAGAAGCACAUCGAGCUGCAGCUUGCAAAAUUAACAAGCCUUCUUAUAAAGAGAAAUCUGCAGUUUAGCACCCGUCCAAGGUGAGGCGGCCAGGAAGGAAGGAUUAACACAGAUAAGGCCUGCCCUUUACUAUGUUCUUAAACAUUGUUCUGACCUUCAAAUAAUUUGUGCUUAUUGAAGGAAAACUGGAACAUACAGAGAACUAAAGGGUGUAUAUUCCUAGAGGCAAGACCUUCAAGCGUGGAUCUGGAAGAUACUACGCAACACCAUGUCUCCUAGUGAGAACUUGACUUUGUGGUCAUUCGGUUCACCCUGACCCAAACCACACCCCAGGACAGGGCUCCGGUCCUGGUUUCUGAACCCUGGCGCCCAGAGGAAAACAUUGCAAACACUUCUGCUGCAGACACCAUCCCCAACACUGCAGCCUACUCAGCGGCACAGUUUAAGUAAACACAAAAACUGCGGUCGAGAUGCUCGUCUUUCCCAAGAUGUAAACAUCAGUCCCAGUGUCGUAAACUUGGCUGUGUCGGAGGAGCCAGGAGAUCUGAGGCAGAACGACAGUCACACACUGGUAACAGAAGCCUGCAAGCAGUUGGAAGGUUUCUGUAAUUUCUCAGCUUCGUUCGUCGCGGGGUCCGUACUUGCUCGGAAGCUGAAAGCCGGACCAGCCCCACCGUGCACCGGGCUCAAGGUAACGUUCUGACGACGGUUACUUUCAACAAUGCUUGACGUGUUGGAAGCCAGGCUCUCCCGAGUGCUAAAAGAGUAAAAAGGGUUUGUUUUGUUUUGUUUUACACAUAAAUAAUUACCUCUUGAGCCCCAGAGGAAGAGCAAAUGAUGUAGUUAAUGGAUUUCCUGUCGGCUCAUGAUGUCACAUAUGCCCCAUCGCACGCUGAUUAGUCACAUACGCUCUUUCAGCGUGGGCUCCAGAAGCUUUCACACACGUGUUCUAGUAAACGGCACCCUGAAUGACAGCUUUCCACCCAGCUAAACGCAUCUUCAAUGUUUUCCCCUUCCCUUCCCGUUCAAGGAAACCACUUCCAAAUUUGAUGUGAUGGAUGGCUAUCACACAUUCAUCUGAGAAAAGAAUCCUCUUAAAUACACAUACGUAGUGAUUUCAUUUCGGGCUGGAAAUUCAUUGAGAAAAGUGCUCUUGAAUAAACUCAGUUUUGCCCCUAAUGAUGCUGUUUUCAUUCCCGAUUAGCAGAUUUUGACUCUGGUUGGACUUCAAGCAUGCCAUUAGCUGAUCUGCCACACUGAUGGGAAUAAAAUUCUUCUUAAAGCA